rnacentral:rRNA from 1 species
UGGAUGAUGUGGAUUAAUUCGAUGCAACGCGAAAACCUUACCUACCCUUGACAUGUCCGGAAUCCUGCAGAGAUGCGGGAGUGCCCGAAAGGGAAUCGGAACACAGGUGCUGCAUGGCUGUCGUCAGCUCGUGUCGUGAGAUGUUGGGUUAAGUCCCGCAACGAGCGCAACCCUUAUCAUUAGUUGCUACGCAAGGGCACUCUAAUGAGACUGCCGGUGACAAACCGGAGGAAGGUGGGGAUGACGUCAAGUCCUCAUGGCCCUUAUGGGUAGGGCUUCACACGUCAUACAAUGGUCGGUACAGAGGGUUGCCAAGCCGCGAGGUGGAGCCAAUCCCAGAAAGCCGAUCGUAGUCCGGAUUGUUCUCUGCAACUCGAGAGCAUGAAGUCGGAAUCGCUAGUAAUCGCGGAUCAGCAUGUCGCGGUGAAUACGUUCCCGGGUCUU